rnacentral:rRNA from 1 species
GCUCGAGUGGCGAACGGGUGAGUAACACGUGAGUAACCUGCCCUUGACUUUGGGAUAACUUCAGGAAACUGGGGCUAAUACCGGAUAGGAGCUCCUGCUGCAUGGUGGGGGUUGGAAAGUUUCGGCGGUUGGGGAUGGACUCGCGGCUUAUCAGCUUGUUGGUGGGGUAGUGGCUUACCAAGGCGACGACGGGUAGCCGGCCUGAGAGGGUGAUCGGCCACAUUGGGACUGAGAUACGGCCCAG